rnacentral:rRNA from 1 species
GACGAACGCUGGCGGCGUGCCUAAUACAUGCAAGUCGAACGCAGUGGGGACGGUUGAGUAACACGUGGGUAACCUCCCAUCAGAGGGGAUACCACUUGGAAACAGGUGCUAAACCGAUCUUGAUGGCUGUACCUGCAGUGCAUUAGCUAGUUGGUGAGGUAACGGCUCACCAAGGCCACGAUGCAUACCUGAUCUGAGAGGAUGAUCGGCCACACUGGGACGGAGACACGGCCCAGACUCCGACGGGAGGCAGCAGUGGGGAAUCUGCGGCAAUGGACGAAAGUCUGACCGAGCAACGCCGCGUGAGUGAAGAAGGUUUUCGGGUCGUAAAACUCUGUUGUUAGGGAAGCGGUAUCUAAACAGAAAGCCACGGCUAACUACGUGCCAGCAGCCGCGGUAAUUC